GGUCUGGCAGCUGUAUCAAAGCCUGUCACUGUGGCAUGCACUGUAGGGACAGGUCAGUGUGACUGCUCAGGAUCUUAACAUCGAGUAUGGCCCACGCGACACCUCCGAGCAGCUUCCCCUGUUGCUCCACCCUGUGUCCCCCAGGCUUUCAGCGUGAGUUACAAAUCCUUGAAAUUGGACCUGACACAGCAGCCCAACCCUGCAGCCUUGCUGAACUGCCUUCAGCUGGUGCAACAAAGGCCAAGUUCACCUCCAAAUUCCUCGUUGUGUUCUGCAUAAAUUGCUUUGUGAGCCCGGCGUGCGUCUUUGCUUGCUGACUGUACGUUUGGAAGCAGGCGCUUCGCGUUCCUGCAGACCUGUCGAGCACCC
rnacentral:lncRNA from 1 species